rnacentral:rRNA from 1 species
GCGUAACACGUAUACAAUCUACCUUAAACAGGGGGAUAGCCUUUCGAAAGAGAGUAUUAAUACCCCGUAAUAAAUUGAACGGCAUCGUUUGAUUUUGAAAGCUCCGGGCGGUUUGAGAUGAGUAUGCGUCUGAUUAGCUAGUUGGUGAGGUAACGGCUCACCAAGGCGACGAUCAGUAGGGGACCUGAGAGGACUAACCCCCCACACUGGUACUGAGACACGGACCAGACUCCUACGGGAGGCAGCAGUAAGGAAUAUUGGUCAAUGGAGGCAACUCUGAACCAGCCAUGCCGCGUGCAGGAUGACGGCCCUAUGGGUUGUAAACUGCUUUUAUACAAGAGAAAACCCUGGUACGUGUACCAAGUUGAUAGUAUUGUAAGAAUAAGCAUCGGCUAACUUCGUG